rnacentral:lncRNA from 1 species
UCGCAAAAAUCGAGUUUUCUUCACUGGCACACUCGUCCCUUAUUUCAAUUAUCUCGCGGGUGGUGGAGGCUGGUGGGCUCCACAUGCCUGUUGCACUGGUGGUGUGUGCCAAGUGCCGGAAUGGAAUGGGCCAGAGGGGUUUGGUCGGAGACAAGGGCAAGGGCCGGCGCACGUCUGCGGCCUGUGGCGGCGCUGCAGACGAGGUGGAUCGUGGGUAGCUGGCCGUCGGGGGAGUCGGCCGGCGGAUCCCCCACCGCAGGCAGGCGCACUCGAGGUACGCUCGGUUUGUGCCCCCUGACCUCGCAGCAUGUUCGAUCUGUUCCCCCAACUUGAGAUCAGAAUGACAUGUAAUGAGCUGAUGCUAUUGCAACUGAAAAAGAGAGAGAGAGAGAAAUUGGCUCGCAGCUCCACCUCAUCGACCCCGACCGCAGCGUCGACCUCGGCGCUGGCACGCUCUCCAUCGUGCGCCUCCGCCAGGGGGACCACUCGUCGCCGUCCUCGCACGCCUGAUCCACGAGAAGCCCUACCACCGCCACGGCCUCUUCUGCUUGUUCAGCAGCGGGCGGUCUGACGCUGGCGCCGAGCAGGAGCCCGUCCAGUGGCCGCUGGCCCGUGAUGUCGCGGCGGUCAAGCUCCUGCCAUGGGCUUGACGGCGAAGAGCUCCAUGGUGGUUGGAUAGGGCACGUGUGGGCGCGACGGCGGUUGCGGCGCGUUGCCACUCUGAGCCAUGCCGCCACGCCAGAUCUGGAUCUCGCAGGAGCGAGUGGGACGGUGGCGGCGGCGCUGGAGGCAUGCGGGGGAGGGGGAGGCAGGGGCGAGCUGGGCAGGCGUGGUUCCCCACGAUGUUCCGCGAUGGGAGGAGUGAGGGAAAGGCAGAAGGAGGAGGCGAGGAUGGUCGGACCGGCGGAGGAGGCGAGCGAGGCGAGGAUGCGGGGCUGCCGGUGGAUGGAUGGAUCGAGGGAUGGAGCGCGGGCGGGCGGCGGGGUUGCCGGCGUGAUGCGACUGCGGGCGGAUGUGGGGCGGAUGCGGAGGCGCGGCAGAACCAUGUGGGUGUGGACGCCUACAGUAGUAACAUAAUUAGUAGUAGAGAUCCGGCCCAUUAGUCUCCCCUAACCCUAGCCCCCCCCCCUUCCCCUUGGGAUUUUUGCAGCCGCCCCCUUCCCCUCCCCUUCCUCUUAGACGUCACCCCUCCCCCCCCUCUUCCAUCUUCUUUCUCCUCAAACCUUUGCAGCCCUCACCACCCAAAACCCUAGCCCCCCAUUUCUCUUCCCCCCUCCAAGGUGCAGCCCUCCCGCGUGUUCUCCGUCGUGUGGCUGCGAUCUCAAUUGGAGUUUGGAGGGAGGAAGAAAGGAGGAAGGGAAGAACCCAAGGUGAAUUCAUGUUUAACUUUUGUUGUUUUUGUGCUGCAAUCAAUUGGAUUAUGCGUUUAUCUUUGCGAAUCGGUAGAGGUGCUGUCGAGGAAUUUUGUGAGUGGGUGGACAGCAGUAGUUCUAAGGAUUUCUGAGAAUUUUCGUGGGUUAAUUAGUGGUAAUCAGUGGGAUAAUCAUGUAGAGCUUUGUCAUACCUUUCCAACGAGUACUUAUGCGCUCGAUUUGGAGUUAUAAUUUAGGAGAUAUCAUUGUUUGAAUCCGGAUAUGUUGCUGUCCAAAAAAACAGAUUUUUCAGGUGGGUGAACAGCAGUAGUAUUAGCAGUUUCUGGGAAUUUUUCGUGGGUAAUUAGUGAUAACCAGUAUGAUAAUCAUGUAGGGCUUUGUCUUAUCUUUCCAAUGAGUACUUAUGCGCUUGAUUUGAAAUUAUAUGUUAAAAGAUAUCGCUGUUUGAAUCCGGGUAUGUCGCUGUCCAAAAGAGAAAAAACAGAUUACAGGGUUUAUCUUGAGGACUGUUUUGGGCUAAUUAGAUGUUGGGAUUUUAUUAUAAAUUGUAUACAAAAUUUGUGGGGAAUUUGAUGUAGAUGCCUCUGGAGUUUUUGGUUGUCACCACUGCUGUCAUAAUUUUAAAGUUAUGAAAUUAUUAAGCAGCGCCACUGCAGUUUGGUGGGUGCGGGGAGAAUUGUUACCCGUGGUGGGGUGUGAGAUUGUGCGUAGGUGCGGCGUCGUUUAUGAGGCUUAUUAUGUGAAAUUGGUGCACUAAGUUGUGUGUCAAAAACAGGUGGUGGACUUCCGGAUCGUACUUAGGGAUUUGCCCAAACUUCCGGUGAAGGCAAGUAAAACAGUGAUGGUUAUUCCGUCUGUCGAAUGAAGAUUCUUAUACUUAAUUAUGUUUGUGCUAUUUGUGUUCGUAUUCAUAUGUCUAAUUGAGUACCAUCGUUGGAAGAUAUUCAUGUUUUAUUGAUUACAUAUGUUGAGUUUGUGGUUUGAUCAUGUUACUCAUGUGGUUUAUUAUGUGGAAUGGGUGGAAGUAUAUGUCUAGCACAUUUUGUUU